UACGGAGGGGGCUAGCGUUGUUCGGAAUUACUGGGCGUAAAGCGCGCGUAGGCGGCUUUGUAAGUCAGAGGUGAAAGCCUGGAGCUCAACUCCAGAACUGCCUUUGAAACUACAUCGCUAGAAUCAUGGAGAGGUUAGUGGAAUUCCGAGUGUAGAGGUGAAAUUCGUAGAUAUUCGGAAGAACACCAGUGGCGAAGGCGACUAACUGGACAUGUAUUGACGCUGAGGUGCGAAAGCCAGGGGAGCGAACGGG
rnacentral:rRNA from 1 species